rnacentral:lncRNA from 1 species
GGAUUUAUUGAUUGAUUUUAGAGAGAGAGAAAGAACAGGGGAGGGGCAAGAGAAAACCUCAAGCAGACCCCUCACUAAGCGCAGAGCCUGACGCGGGGCUGGAUCCCUGGACCCUGAGAUCAUGACAGGAGCCGAAAUCAAGAGUCAGAUGCCAAACCGACUGUGCCCCCCGGGGGCCCUGUUUCAGACUAUUUUUUAAGGAUGUUUGCAGAGCAAACCACCCUGAAGAAAGAGCACGUCCCCUCGGUGCCAGAGGACACAUUUGUUUCCUGACCAGGGUGACAUCUCUCUCAAAGACAAAGGUUGGGCGGGUUUGCCAGCAGCUCCCUUUAAAAGUGUGGGGUUUCCGAAGCAUGGGGUUUCCCGGCCGUUCCACAAACCCAGUGUGUGCCUGGCCUCCCCGGGGCUGCUUGGCAUCAUCCUUCCGGGCUCGUGUGGUAAGGUGCCCUGGUGAGAACAUGAAGCUCAUGCCACUGGCUCCGCUAUGAGUCAUAAAGUCCUUUAUCCAGGAGCCUCAUGGCUUCUGUCAGCGUCUUUUAAAUUAUAGCAGGCACACUUGCAAACAGGAUGGAAUUUCAGACGCUUCACAGCUCUUGACAUAUCUGUGCUAAGGUUCAAAAAGAGCAGUCGUACACAUUCUGGAAGGUAGAAAUGGCUAAGUAGCGCUCAGAAAAGAGAGGUCUCUCAUCAGCAUGAGUCAAAGGUACGGAAAGCAAGAUUUGACUCUCCAUGGCCACAUUCAUGGGUGUAUCAGGGCUAGAUCCAAGGAGGUGAUGGAUUCUUCUGGAGCAUCACAUCUUAUUUUAAGAAAAUGGAUUUAUGAGAACACUGCCUGACCUAGUGAAGAUUCCAGAGGGAAUAUUCAUUUGGGAAACCAGUGGAGAGAAAUAGUUAACAUUUAGUCCCAAACCAAGAAUGAUACCAAGGGAGGAUACAGGAAGGUGGUUCAGAGUAACAGGUAAUGCAGUCUUGUACAAAGUGUACUCUUUGUACAACCAUCAUCUCAUUUCAUUCUCCUGCCCGUGCCGUGAGCUAGGUGUUACUGCACCCAUUUAACAGACAGAGACCCUGAGGCUCCGAGAAGUUACGGAUCUCACUCCCCCUCCAAGUCUCACAUGGCGGAGCCAGCCCUGAGACUCGGGCCUCCACCUCAUGCGCUCUCCGGGGCCCUGUGCAAUCACAGAGGAGGCCACUGUGCAAGCAGGAUUAGACUCACUGCCUGGGACCAAGGGGCAGAAUUAAAGGGAAGAGGAUUUUUGACUCAAGAGAGAACGUUUGCUGUGAGUAAUUCCUUUUACUGACACUUAGUAGGAGCGACAUGACCAAUGUUAAGCCUCAAAGUCUUGAGGUUUAUCAUAACUUAUCACAACUACCCCUAUCCCAUUGCACAGUGGAGCAUGCUGGGACUUGGAGAGAGGAAGUGAUUUCCCUGGCUGCACAGGGGCAAGGCUUGAUUCCAGCAGAAGUCACAGUCUUGCAAGGUGGUGAGUUUCCCGUGGCUGAAGAUACCCAGAGGGCCACCUUACAAGGCAUGCUGUGACGGGGGGGAGGCGGUUCUGGGAUUACAGUGGAUCUGCCUGGUGAUCUGGCCAGGGUCCUACAGCAAUGCAAACACGGAAGUCAGAACUCACUCUGGGGUUCCCAGACUUGGGGGCUCGCUGUGUGAGCUCAUCCCAUGGCCUUUUCUUAAGCACCAUACUAUGGGCCUGGCCCUGAGGCUCCAAAGAGGAAUAAGGCCCAGCUUGUCCCAUUAGCCUCUGAGGGUCUCCUGGACAGAGAGGGGAGGCAGAUAUAUGUGUAAAGGGGCAUGAGCUGUAAGGUUUUGGCGUAUGGGAGGGUUCAGCUUUAGCCUGCCUGGAGUGAGUGCUCCCCACCAAUGCUUCAUGACUCUAGCAGCGCUGUCUUUCUUUGGGAGGGGUACUUCAUCCCCAGAUGGGCUACGGGGGAUACUGAGGCCCAGGAGUUAAGAGGGACCAGCCCUCUACUCAAACCCAAGUCCCUCCCAUCAGAUAUAGGCUGUGGGGGUCUUCACUGCUCUGGCAUGACGACCACCUCAUCAGUUCCCACCGUGGGACCGUUCAGAGGUUGGAACAAAAGGAUGCUUGGAAAACAGGAGUCCAGGCCUGCCCCCCCAUGGCAGGCACUCUGGAGGGGGGAAGAGGAGGGAGCUGGGGAGAUCACAGAUAGGUCGUGGGGUGCAGUGACAGCAGGACUAGGUAUUGUCAGUAACUGGGGGCCUCGGGGAAAGAAAGCUGUGAUCCAGAACCUGGAAGUGCCCGGCAGAGUGAUGCAAGAUAGGUUUUUUUUUUUUUCCUUUUCUUAAAUGUUUUAUUUAUUUAUUUAUUUGAGAGAGAGAGAGAGAGAGUUAGAGAGAGAGAGAGAGAGAGAGAGAGAGAACCAGCAGGAAGAGAGGGAGAGGGAGGAGACUGCCCACAGAGCAGGGAGCAAGACAUGGGGCUCAAUCCCAAGACCCCAGGAUCGUGAUCUGAGCCCAAGGCAGAUGCUUAAGCCACUGAGCCACCCAGGGGCCCCAAGACAGUUUUCUACCAGUUUUUCUUGCACUUCUAUUGAUUCCUAGCUCUCUGGAUUCAUUGAUUAAAUAUUUACCAGGUCUGGCCCUGGGCUGGAGAGUCAUGAUCCCAGCAUAAAGGAGACAGGAACCCUUGUCCUCGGAGAAUGCCAGGAUUCCGUGAUGCUCUGAUGGAAGCAGAGGGGCUGCGGGGUGCGGAGGUGGGGGGGGGGG